AGGUUGCCGCAUGCCUCCCCCGACACACCCAUGCACUUGCACGACCACACCAACAUGCAUUUCCUUUUCCCAAGUCGUGGCACGCCGGUGCCGACGCCGGUUUUUUAAUUUAUUAAUUAUUAAAAAAAAAUUAAAAAAAAAAAUUUUUUUAAAAAAAUAAAAUUAUUUCCCUUCAUUUGAGUAUUAAUUGUGCGUGCAAGAUCCUGCACAAUAUAUAAAAUAUUGGGAACAGCUCUCUCCCCUGGUGAACUUUGAGUGAGCCGGUUGAGUGGCCGAACACGCCGCUUGAAACAGCCUGCGAGGCCCGGUGGAAAAAAGGAACGGCAAAGGAAGAUCCUGGGAAAGGAAGAAUGAUCCUGUACGUGUGAGAGAUUUUCCUGGAAUAAAGAGGAACAAGUUAGAAGGGCGCCGGAGUGUUUUCCGGNCAUGAUGCCCGGGCGAGUGCCUUGGCGCGUGCAAUGAUGCCCGGGCGAGUGCCUUGGCACGUGCCAUGAUGCCCGGUCGAGUGCCUUGGCGCGUGCCAAGAUGCCCGGUCGAGUGCCUUGCCGCGUGCCAAGAUGCCCGGUCGAGUGCCUUGCCGCGUGUGCCAAGAUGCCCUGCCGUGUGCCAUUAUGACUCCUCGAGCAUGGCAUGUCUGUUCGUGGCACUUGGGUUUUCCUUCCUAAUGCUAUUAUAGGGGGGUAGAGGCUUUCGCAGACCUUGCCCGACUUGCCAUGUUGCCUUGCCGCGUGCCUUGUUGCCUUGCCGCGUGCCUUGUUGCCUUGUCACAUGCCGUGUUGCCUUGCCACGUGCCACUUGCCGCUUGCCUUGCCACAUGCCACAUGCCACUUGCCAUGUUGCCUUGUCGCUUGGCCGACUUGCCAUGUUGCCUUGUCGCUUUCCCGACUUGCCUUGUUGCCUUGCCGCGUGCCACGUGCCACAUGCCUUGUUGCCUUGCCCACCGCAUGCCCUUGACUAGCAACAUGACGUGCCAUGAUGCUUUGCCCGAUACACCGCAUGGCCUUGCUUGGAUAAUAACGUCACGUGCCAUGUUCCCUUGUCGCAUGCCUCUCCUCUUCCAUAACACCGCAUGGCCUUGCUUGGACAGCAACACGACGUGCCUUGUUCCCUUGUCGCAUGCCUCUCCUCUCCCAAAACACCGCAUAACCUUGCUUGGAUAGCAACAUCAUGUUUCAAUUUUCCACUAUUUUUCCUAUUUUUUAUUUUUAAUCAAUUAAUUUCAACAAAUAAUAAUUACUCGUAUUUUUUCGUGAUUUUUCUCUAUUUUUAACUAUUUUUAACUAUUUUUCCCUAUUUUUUUGCUAAAAAAAUAAUAAAUAAUUAUUUUAUUGCACAAAAAAAUAUAAUAACUAUUUUUCACAAUGUUAAUAAUUAUUUGUUUGCAUUUUGAUCGGUUAUUUCAAAAGAAAAUGAGUUUUACUUCACAAAACCCCCAUUAUGACUCCUCGAGCAAAAGGAUGUCUGUUCCUGUCACUAGGAAUUUGCUUCCUAAUGCUAUUAUAGGGGGGGGUGAGGUCUCUGAGGGGCUUGGCCCUCAGAGGUUGCCGCAUGCCUCCCCCGACACACCCAUGCACUUGCACGACCACACUAGCAUGCAUUUCCUUUUCCCAAGUCGUGGCAUGCCGACGCCGACGCCGACGCCGACGCCGGUUUUUUAAUUUAUUAAUUAUUAAAAAAAAAAUUAAAAAAAAAAAUAAUUUUAAAAAAAAUUAAAAUUAUUUCCCUUCACUUGAGUAUUAAUUAUAUUCACUUAUUUUAAUUGAUUAUUUAUAAAAAAAAUUAUUAUUUAAUAGCUAAAUUCAUAUUAUGACUCCUCGAGCAAAAGGAUGUCUGUUCCUGCCACUAGGAUUUUGCUUCCUAAUGCUAUUAUAGGGGGGGUGAGGUCCUUGAAGGUGCCUGCGGGGGGCGACAAGGGGGCUGCCGCGGGGCUUGCCUAGCACACCAGGGACCCUUGCCUAGCGAUACGACAUGCCCAUUUGUUCUCCCACCCCCCCUAGGUGGAUGUCGGGGGCAUGUCGUGGCGCGGUGGCAUGGUGAUCGGUGGUGGGCAAGCCGACAUAAUCGAGCUCUAGCGUGUUGUCACCGCAAGCAAACGUAGGUUGGUGUUGGUCCCAUGGGAGCAACGAGUGGGUGCUUGUGGGGCUAGUGUGCCUAAAACUCCGAUGAUGCCUAGCAAUGCGAGGUGCCUGUCCGUUCUCCCACCCAAUCAGGUGGAUGUCGGGGCAUGUUGCUGAGCGGUGGCGUUGUUGGGGCAUGUGGCACGCUGACCUUGUCAUGCGCCUAUAUGCGGCACCCAUGGGCUCAACACCGACCGAAGUUGGGAGCAAGUGGGAUUCCGAGGCCGGGCUUUCCUAGAAUGCCGAUUGGUAAUGCCUAGCAACGCGACAUGCUUGUUCGUUCUCCCACCCACCCGGGUGGAUGUCGGGGGCAUGUUGCAAUGCGGUGGCAGGCUAUACAAAAAGGCAAGCUUGACCUUGGCUCCCCCUUGUUGCCCCUUGCA